rnacentral:rRNA from 1 species
GACGCACCCUGGCGGCGCGCUUAACACAUGCAAGCCGAACGGAAAGGCCAUGCUUUUGUGGGGUGCUCGAGUGGCGAACGGGUCAGUAACACGUGAGUAACCUGCCCUUGACUUUGGGAUAACUUCAGGAAAAUGGGGCUAAUACCGGAUAGGAGCUCCUGCUGCAUGGUGGGGGUUGGAAAGUUUCGGCGGUUGGGGAUGGACGCGCGGCUUAUCAGCUUGUUGGUGGGGUAGUGGCUUACCAAGGCUUUGACGGGUAGCCGGCCUGAGAGCGUGACCGGGCGGAGUGGCACUGCUCUAGGGGCGACACUCGUACGGGAGGCAGCAACGGGGCAUAGCGUGCAUCGGGCGGAGGCCUCUUGCGGCACCGCCGUGUGCGUGAUGGCGGCCUUCGGGCUGUAGCCCGCUUUUACGGGUCGCGGAGGCUGCGUGCCGGUACUGCAUAAAGAAGGACGGGCUAAAUCCGUG